rnacentral:rRNA from 1 species
UACGUAGGGUGCAAGCGUUGUCCGGAAUUAUUGGGCGUAAAGAGCUCGUAGGCGGUUUGUCGCGUCUGCUGUGAAAACCCGAGGCUCAACCUCGGGCCUGCAGUGGGUACGGGCAGACUAGAGUGCGGUAGGGGAGACUGGAAUUCCUGGUGUAGCGGUGAGAUGCGCAGAUAUCAGGAGGAACACCGGUGGCGAAGGCGGGUCUCUGGGCCAUAACUGA